rnacentral:tRNA from 1 species
ACUUGUCUAGCUCAGUUGGUAAAAUAAAAGACUCUCAACCUUGUGAUCGUGGGUUCGAGCCCCAUGGUGGGUG